GGGCGCAGGAAGUUUGAAGAGAUUAAUCCUUAGUACGAGAGGACCAGGAUUAACGAACCUCUGGUGUUCCAGUUGUUCCGCCAGGAGCAUCGCUGGGUAGCUAUGUUCGGAAAGGAUAAGCGCUGAAAGCAUCUAAGCGCCAAGCCCCCUCUAAGAUAAGACUUCCCUAUCUCGUAAGAGAUCUAAAGGCUCGUUCUAGACUAGGACGUUGAUAGGUUGGGUGUGGAAGCUCCGCGAGGAGUGAAGCUGACCAAUACUAAUUAGCCGUGCGGCUUAAUCUUU
rnacentral:rRNA from 1 species